AUCAGAUGCUUCAGUGCUCUGAGAGUGUUUAUAGUGCUGUGAGUUUAACACUUCAUCACUGACACACACAACAAUCUUCAUCAACAUGACCUUCAUCAUCAUCUUCAUCUGGACUCUCACAGCGUUUGCUCAAGAGUGUAGAGGACAGAUCACCGUCACUCAGAGUCCCUCAAUGACAGCAGCUCAACCAGGAGAAACAGUCAAAAUCAACUGUAAAACCAGCAAUCCUGUAUAUUAUGAUGUUGACAGAGGAAAGUAUAUUUUAGCCUGGUACUUACAGAAACCUGGAGAAGCUCCUAAAUCCAUGAUUUACAGGACCAGCAGCCGUCAGUCAGGAACUCCAUCUAGAUUCAGUGGUAGUGGAUCAUCUGCGUUUGAUUUCACUCUGACCAUCAGUGGAGUCCAGACUGAAGAUGCUGGACAUUAUUACUGUAAGACUUUUCAUUGCAGAACAGAUUCUAAUUAUUAUUGUGCGGGUGAUCAUGUGUUCACACAGUGAUAAAGAGUCGUACAAAAACCUCCGUCAGUCAGAGUCACAGUGACUGAACUGAUUCUGCAGCUGCUCAAACACUAUCACUCACUCAACAGUGAAGAAA